UCCAAGAGCGGUCUUUGAGAUGGCGGCAAGCUGGUGCUGCCUGGUGGAGGGAGCCUUUACUGUUGAGAAAGUUGGCAUCUCCAUGGCUUAAACACAACGUGGUGGCUGAUCUCCAAAGGCGAGCACCCUGACAAAGAAGCCGAGGCAGCUGUUGAACACCUAAGCAAGGGGACCGUGGCCCUCCACAGCACGGCCAAUGAAGAAUCACCACCAUGCCUUCCUGCUCAUGACUGACUUGACCCGCCACCAUGCCUUCCCAUCAUGACCGGCUUGAAAUGAAAGACUCUCAAAGAGGUCCUUCUCUCGGGAGGAGACCUCCCCAACGCCAAGGAACAGGCCGAGACCACAGGGAUGCAAAUCGCAAGAGGUUUAUUGGGUAAACACAGGGAAAGGCCAACAACGUGAACAACUUAGAUGUGAGGAACAAGAAAGAAUUUCCAAAUUGAGGACAUUUUGCUUUCAGGUGGAUUUUGUUUCCAAGCUGAAGGAUCUGUGUCACUCCCUUGCCAUGGGAAGCCACGUCUGCCUCCUUCCCGCCCCCAGGCUGGGAAACCAGGUCAGCAUCAUUGGUCAGCAGUUUCCUCUUUGACCAGCCUUGUCACUUUAAGGAAAAGCAGAAAUAGCUGCUGUCAUUUGCCUUUGAAAAUGGAAAUGACUGUAUUAAAUUUGUUUGUGAACAUCAGGUAUGAACGGCGUCGGUGUUGUACACCUAUCAAAACCAAAUCUCUUGGGAUGGCUUGGGACAGAGUGUCAUUUCAACACAGCCUUGGUAGAAAAGGUGCGGAAUUGCUUGUCACUGAAUGACAGGAACACAUCAGAGAAGGGCAUUGUUAGGCAAUCCCAUUGUUCCGCAAACACCGAAGAGUAUACUGACAGAAACCACAGUGCCUAUGAUACCAGCGGGCAAUGCAAUGUCAUGGAACCAUUCCAGUGUGCACAGGCCACCUACUAAAAUGUCAUCAUGAUGCACAUGGAGGCAUCUGAAGCUGAUCAAGCUGGAGCAUGACUGAGACACACCUGGAGACCUGAGAGCAUCAAUUUUUCCUACCUCUGCUUCUCUCAGGAUUGACUGCUCUAUUGGUUGCUUUUCCUGGUGCUGUGACCAAAUGCCCGACAGGAAAAAAAAAAAAAAAAAAAACUUCAGACAAGAAAGAUUUUAGUUGGGCUCAUGGUUUCAGGGGAUACAGUCAACCAUGGUAAGGAUGACAUGGUGAGCAGGCAGCUCAGUCUAUAGAGUCAGGAGCUUGUGACACCGCUUCUUACAUCUUAGUGGAUAAGGAAACAUUGAGAGAGGACCAUACACAGAUGUAGGCUCUAAUCCCCAAGGCUGUCCUCAGUCUGCUUGAUAGUCAGCUGUAUGUCUCCAAAAUUCUAAUUGCAGCACGUUCACCUGGAGGCCAAGAGUUCAAACAUACAACCUGUGCAAACACUCUGUAUCCAAACAGCUCUGCAGUCUGUUCUUCCAUAACGUUUUAUCAAAAUAUUCGUCCUGCUAACUGAAAUUUUCAAAGUUAUUGACAUAAUAAUUUUGUUAGUAGUCUCUCUUUUUUAGUAUUUUCAAUUAUAUCUUUUGUGACUGCACAUGUGUGUGUGUGUGUUUGUGUGUUGUGUGUGUCACAGCAUGCAUGUGGAGGUCAGAGGACGACUUGUGGAAGUUCUUUCCUUUCGUCAUGUGUGUUCCUGGGAUGGAACUCAGGUCACCAGGCUUCCUGACAGAUGCCCUUAACCACCGAGGUUAAAACCAACCAUCUUACUGGCCCUAGCUGUAGAGUAGCUAGUGAUGUUACUUUCUCCUACGUGACAACUAUGCACUGUGCCAUGUCUCUGUACCAUGUCAGCUGUGCGCUGUGCCAUCUCUCUGCCCCUCUUUACUCUUUGACUACAAGUUUCUCUGUCUUAGUCAUCUUUUCAAUGAACCUGCGUUCACACUCAUUUUUUCACAUUUUUUUCUUUUUUUUCCCCCCAACAUUGA